CGGUCUCAGUUCGGAUUGAAGGCUGAAAUUCGCCUUCAUGAAGCUGGAAUUGCUAGUAAUGGCAGGUCAGCAUACUGCCGUGAAUACGUUCCCGGGCCUUGUACACACCGCCCGUCACACCAUGAGAGUUGGGAAUACCCGAAGUCCGUAGUCUAACCGCAAGGGGGCGCGGCCGAAGGUGGGUCCGGUAAUUGGGGUGAAGUCGUAACAAGGUAGC
rnacentral:rRNA from 1 species